UCAACCACACUUAAUAUUUUCUUAUCUGUACGUGAGAGUGGCCAUCAAGUCGAUUCAAUUUGUUUUGCUAUCGAUUGCAAUCGCUAUUAGAAAGAGUUGUUAAUAAUCCACUAGACCAUUUUUGGAAGAGAUGAGCCCAUGCGCUUAAGCUUUAUUAGCUGAUGAGAAAUGAGACGCUACUUGCAUAUUUAGUCAUGCAAUCCUAAAUAUAAUCCCAUUACCAAAAGGAGGCAUUUCCAAACACUCGUAAGAAGGCCCGUUACAUGACCAAGAUAACUUGGUUAAGGAUUUUCUUCAUGUUGUGGAGAUCUCAUAAUGAUGUCGUUCAAGUUGAAAUUAAGUUUGUCUUACACUGUUUCUGUGUUUAAAACCGUGUACAGGACAAUCACGCCGCGGUGGACUUCGAGUUUUCAAUCAAGAUUAUUGGGCAGCACCUUCUUUAUCAGUAUUGCUGCAAUAUGUUGGUGCUUAUAUGAUGACCAAGUUUGUUCAUUGUGCAUAACACAUCCAGCUCUAGACUUACAUACAUGUAAAACACAAGAAUUACACUAUUUGAUUCCAACUCCAUCCUUUAAUUAGUUGCAUCCCCUUUUGUGGAGAUCUUAUACGUUUGGAUUGAGACCAUAGUGAUUCACCAUGAAUAUAGGCUUGCUUCUGCUUUUUUUGGUUUUCUGUCAGGGUUCUCAUGCUAGUGGACUCAUUACUAAUGUCACUACAAGACCUGAUGUAUUGAACAUUGGUUCGAUGUUCACUUUCGAUUCUGUCAUUGGGAAAAUCGCAAAACUUGCCAUAACACUUGCGGUUGAAGAUGUCAAUUCCAAUCCCAACAUUCUCAAUGGCACAAAGCUCUCACUCAAAAUGCAUAACACCAAAUCGAGUGACUUCCUCGGAAUCGUGGAAGCUUUGCAGUUUAUGGAGAAUGACACAGUGGCCAUAAUUGGCCCCCAAAGCUCAGCUACAGCUCAUGUUAUCUCACACAUAGCAAAUGAGCUCCAAGUGCCUUUGUUAUCAUUUGCAGCAACAGACCCUACUCUAUCUCCUGUUCAGUUCCCUUUCUUUGUUCGAACAACGCAAAGCGAUCUCUUUCAGAUGACAGCAGUGGUAGACCUUGUUGUUCACUACCAGUGGAGAGAUGUCAUAGCAAUAUAUGUAGAUGACGAUUUUGGAAGAAAUGCUAUUGCUUCCUUGGGUGAUAAGCUAGCCGAAAAGCGCUGCAAGAUUUCAUACAAAGUGCCUUUGACUCCCACAGCAACAAAAGAUGAGAUCAGAAAGGCACUGAUCAGUGUGUCUACAAUGGAAUCUAGGAUUCUGAUCCUGCACAUUUAUACUAGUUGGGGUCUGCAAGUACUUGAAGAAGCGCAGGAGCAGAAGAUGAUGGAUAGUGGAUAUGUGUGGAUUGCUACUGAUUGGUUCUCCACCAUUUUAGAUACUGAUCCUUCUCUCCCUCUAGUGCAAACAAACAACAUCCAAGGCGUUCUCACAUUGCGAAUGUACACACCUGAUUCACAACUGAAGACUGAAUUCAAGUCGAGAUGGAGCAACUUGACUAGGGCAAGAAGAUUACUUAAUAACACUUCUUUUGGGUUAAAUACAUAUGGCCUAUACGCGUAUGAUUCGGUGUUGCUUCUUGCUCAAGCAAUCGAAUCAUUUUUCGCUAUUGGGUGGAAUAUUUCCUUUUCAAAUGACACAAAUUUGAGGGAGUUAAGUGGUGGGAAGUUGAAUCUUGAUGCUUUGAACAUUUUCAAUGGAGGCAGGCAAUUGCUCAAAAGCAUUUUAGAGGUUAACACAACUGGCUUAACAGGGCCAAUUAAGUUUGAUGCAGAUGGGAACUUACUCAAUCCUGCAUUUGAAGUCAUCAAUGUGAUUGGCAGAGGGACUAGAACUAUUGGCUAUUGGUCUAACUCCUCGGGUUUAAAUGUUCUUCCUCCAGAAAAGCUCCAAAUGAAGAUGCAGACUAAUGGCUCCAGCGCCGGUACUCAAAAACUGUACAGUGUGAUCUGGCCUGGACAAACAACUGAGAAGCCUCGCGGAUGGGUUUUCCCUUACAAUGGCAGAAAGCUCAGGAUUGGAGUCCCCCAUGGAGUUAGCUACCCCGAGUUUGUGGGUAUAAAAGGCACUGAUUUCAGUGGUUACUGCAUUGAGGUCUUUCAGGCUGCACUAAAUGAGUUACCAUAUGGUGUGCCAUACGAGUAUGUCCCUUUUGGAGAUGGUAUCAAAAACCCAGAAAGCAAUGACCUUCUGCACAGAGUCCAAAUUGGGGAGUUUGAUGGUGUAGUAGGAGCUAUUACAAUCACUACUAACAGAACAAAGAUGGUGGAUUUUACUCAACCUUAUAUUGAGUCUGGGCUAGUUGUGGUUGCUCCAAUAAGGAAGAUGGACUCCAGUGCUUGGGCUUUUCUGAGACCCUUUACUCCAAUGAUGUGGGGUGUUACUGGUGUUUUCUUCCUAGUUGUGGGAACAGUUGUUUGGAUUUUGGAGCGCAGGACUAAUGAGGAUUUUAGGGGGCCUCCAAAGAGACAAUUUGUCACAAUUGUUUGGUUUAGCUUUUCGACUUUGUUCUUCUCCCAGAAAGAGCAAACUGGCAGCACACUUGGUCGCUUUGUGGUAAUCAUAUGGCUAUUUGUGGUAUUAAUACUCAACUCCAGCUACACUGCAAGCUUGACUUCGAUCCUCACAGUGGAGCAACUUUCUUCACCUGUGAAAGGGAUUGAAAGUUUAGUGACAGGCACUGAGCCCAUUGGUUAUCAAAGGGGUACCUUUGCUGAAGCUUACUUAACCGACGAGCUAAACAUACAUCAUAGCAGACUUGUUGCCCUUGACUCGGCGGAAGAUUAUGAGAAGGCCUUGAAGAAAGGUCCUAGUGCAGGUGGUGUUGCUGCGGUGAUUGAUAAGCGUGCUUACAUGGAGCUCUUCCUCUCUAGUCGAUGUGGAUAUAGUAUUGUUGGUCAAGAGUUCACUAAAAUGGGUUGGGGAUUUGCCUUUGCGAGGGACUCCCCGUUGGCAAUCGACAUGUCGACCGCCAUAUUGAUGCUAUCGGAGAACGGAAACCUCCAAAAGAUCCAUGACAAGUGGCUAAUGAAAAGUGCUUGCAGUGUAGAAGGAGCAAAGCAAGCAGUAGACCGCCUUCACCUAAAGAGCUUUUGGGGCCUCUUUCUACUAAGCGGCAUUGCUUGCUUUCUUGCUCUUCUUCUUUAUGUUCUUCACAUGGUUCGACAGUACUACAGGCAUGCAGAUUCUGACAUCGAGUGCUCGCAAUCAACAAGACGAGUGAAGUCGUUUGUUUCAUUUGUAAAUAAGAGGGAACAAGAAGUUAAAAGCGUGAAAAGCAGUUCCAAGAGAAGAAGGACUGAUAGAAAAUCCUCAAAUAAGAAAGUGCAUCGUCAAGAAUGCAGUAGUGAUGGUUUGGAUGAAAGUUAAGCUUGACUAGCUAGACUUGUUCUCUACUGCUUAGCAGUAAAGCCUGAAUAUGUAUACCUUAAAUUUCAUGCAACUUUUAUCAAACAGUUAGGUGAUCAGAGAAUAAUAUAGGGAGAACGACCACUUACCCAUAAUUGGACCAUAAUUUCCCCAAUCACUCCACCUUCAACUGUUUGUGCCCACUUACCCAAUUCAACAAUGUCAUGACUCAUCUAGGCUCCGAAAAAAAUGAUAUUACGGUUUGUUUCAAAGAAAGAAGAAAAGAAGCCAAAAUGAGCUAACUAGGAUUGAAAAGGCAAUGUGCAAUCUGAGACUGGGAAUCUGCCUGUGCAGAACGUCCAAUUUCGCCGAAUUACUGGGACAUACUCAGAUUGAAUUAGACAAUUUUCCUUAUAUGCACGAAAAGCUACGGAUGUCUACUUUCUGUAGAAUUUUACGGAUCUCGAUUUCGAUACUUCUGGAGAAAGUUAUGAUUAUUUGAGUGAAGAUAGGUUGGA